AGUAAAUAAUCGUAACAAGGUUUCCGUAGGUGAACCUGCGG
rnacentral:rRNA from 1 species